rnacentral:rRNA from 1 species
UACGGAGGGUGCAAGCGUUAAUCGGCAUUACUGGGCGUAAAGCGCACGCAGGCGGUCAAUUAAGUCGGAUGUGAAAGCCCCGAGCUUAACGUGGGAAAUGCAUUUGAAACUGGUAGGCUAGAGUCUUGUAGAGGGGGGUAGAAUUCCAGGUGUAGCGGUGAAAUGCGUAGAGAUGUGGAGGAAUACCGGUGGCGAAGGCGGCCCCCUGGACAAAGACUGACGCUCAGGUGCGAAAGCGUGGGGAGCAAACAGA